UACGUAGGGUGCGAGCGUUAAUCGGAAUUACUGGGCGUAAAGCGUGCGCAGGCGGUUAUAUAAGACAGAUGUGAAAUCCCCGGGCUUAACCUGGAAUGGCAUUGGUGACUGCACGGCUAGAGUGUGUCAGGAGGGGGUAGAAUUCCACGUGUAGCAGUGAAAUGCGUAGAGAUGUGGAGGAAUACCGAUGGCGAAGGCAGCCCCCUGGGAUAACACUGACGCUCAUGCACGAAAGCGUGGGGAGCAAACAGGAUUAGAAACCCCGGUAGU
rnacentral:rRNA from 1 species